GUGCUCGGUUUGGUAGCAUGUGAACUGAAAUUGGAACAAUGCAGAAAAGAUUAGCAUGGCCCCUUUGCAAGGAUGACAAGAGAUGAAAUGUUCAUUCUCUUUUU
ensembl:snRNA Gm22935 predicted gene, 22935